UACGUAGGGCGCAAGCGUUGUCCGGAAUUAUUGGGCGUAAAGAGCUCGUAGGCGGUUUGUCGCGCCUGCUGUGAAAACCUAAGGCUCAACCUUGGGCUUGCAGUGGGUACGGGCAGACUAGAGUGCGGUAGGGGUGACUGGAAUUCCUGGUGUAGCGGUGGAAUGCGCAGAUAUCAGGAGGAACACCGAUGGCGAAGGCAGGUCACUGGGCCGCAACUGACGCUGGAGGAGCGAAAGCAUGGGGAGCGAACAGG
rnacentral:rRNA from 1 species